UUUAGGGAAUAGAUAACAUCAUGUAUGACACAAUAAAUACUUCUCUUUAACAAAAAUCAAUUUAAAUUUAGUUGAAAUUCAGUGAAUUCUCGACUCUGAAUGACGUUUCCACCAAUAUAAAAAGAGGGUCGCAAGUGCUUUAAUUUCAUCAAACAACUUGCAAACAUUACAAAAUCAACAAAUCAAUCAAAAUCCACCAAACAUGAAACUAUUGGGAAGUUCGAUUGUGUGCUUCUUUUUUGCUUUUGCAGUUUCCUUUGCAACCAGCAAGUUCUUGGACAUUACAGAGGUGAAGUCCGAGAUGGUGGGAAAUCCGAAAUCCGUAGCGCACUACAUGGAGCAAUUGCUGGAGAAGGACUUUGACCUCCGACCCUGCUGCCCUGGAUGCUGCCUCAUGUGCAAUAACUGCCUUUGUUGCUGUUACUGUUCCAAGCAGGAAUUUUUCGGCAACAUGACCAUCGCCCUUCGCAAUGAAGGUAUCAUUUUACCCGCAGAUGUGUAGAAAAUGUGAUUCUGUCAACCGGCCUGGCUUGAAGAUUAUAAUAAACAAUGUCUAAUUUCUGUAAAAUCUAAUCAAAGCAAGUUUAAAGUGUAAAUUAAUUGGCUCAAAUAAAUUAAAAUUGCUUAUUUAAAGACGUGAAUGUAUUGAA